GAGGGUAUAGCUCAGUGGUAGAGUGCAUGCUUAGCAUGCACGAUGUCAUGGGUUCGAUCCCCAGUACUUCCA
rfam:Camelus ferus unplaced genomic scaffold scaffold2519, whole genome shotgun sequence.